rnacentral:rRNA from 1 species
AUUGAACGCUGGCGGCAGGCCUAACACAUGCAAGUCGAACGGAAGCACAGUGCUUGCUUGCGGUUCCCGAGGGGGAAAGGGGUGCGUUUCAUGGGAAUAUCCUGAUCUGCUUUUUGUGAUGUCAUAACGAAGGUGGUCUUACUCCAUGACUGCAGACGGCGUAGGUGGGAGAGCAUUGGAUCUUCUGGGCUGUUGCGGGUGUAGGAGCGGAUGUCGAGUUAGUUGGUUGGUGGGGUAAAUGCCUACCAAGGCGACGAUCGGUAGCUUGUCUGAGAGGAUGAUAAGCCACACUGGAACUGAGACACGGUCCAGACUACUACGGGAGGCAGCAGUGGGGAAUAUUGGACAAUGGGCGGAAGCCUGAUCCAGCCAUACCGCGUGGGUGAAGAAGGCCUUCGGGUUGUAAAGCCCUUUUUUUGGGAAAGAAAAGCAGUAGGUUAAUACCACGCUGUUGUGACGGUACCAAAAGAAUAAGCACCGGCUAACUUCGUG